AAUCAACGCUGGCGGCGUGCCUAACACAUGCAAGUCGAACGCGAAAGUCCCGCAAGGGAUGAGUAGAGUGGCAAACGGGUGAGUAACACGUGGGUGACCUGCCUUCGAGCGGGGGAUAACGUCCCGAAAGGGACGCUAAUACCGCAUGACAUCCUGCCUUUGAACAGGCGGUGAUCAAAGCUGGGGAUCGCAAGACCUAGCACUUGAAGAGGGGCCCGCGCCUGAUUAGCUAGUUGGUGAGGUAACGGCUCACCAAGGCGACGAUCAGUA
rnacentral:rRNA from 1 species